rnacentral:lncRNA from 1 species
ACCCAUUAUUGUCCACAUGAUUUUAGUUUAGAGGGAGGUGAAAAUGGAAGUCAAAUUGUGUAUGAGAAAUUUGUGAGAAGGAAAAGGGAAAGUAACCUAAAAGAGAUCUAAGAGAAAAAAGAAAAGUAGUAGACUACUUUUGUAGCUUUUCCCAAAAAUACAAAAAAUAAAUACAUACUUAAAAAAGGAACAAUCAGGUUUUGUACAACUUCGGCAAAAAAUUCAGGGCAGGUCUUUCAUUGUCCCUCACUUAUCAGUAAUUUCCCGGGAAACAAACAGAAACAUGCAACAAUAUUUUCCAGGAGCUUAAAGAAUAUAGAUAUCAAUUAUAACAAAGGAUAACUUGCAGAGAUUGCAAAGUAUAACCAUGUGAUUCUAUAAAAGGAAAAGAUAAGAUUUAUAACCAAAGAAAUAAACAAAAAUUAACACAACCCCAACAAUAUCCACCAAAACCAAAGAGAAACUAACUAUAAAAAUACGAUAAAAACCAAAAAAGUCCGGCAGAAAUCCAGAACCACAGAAGAAAACUAGUGAAACAAACCAAAAAUUCUGAAAAAGAAAAAAAUUAAAAAGCUACCUGGGUGGGUUCAUUCUCCUGAUAAGCUUAGCGUACUCAUCAUCCAUUUCCUUCUUCCCAAAAAGAACUUCACAGAUUCUCCAAACAACCUCCCAAACAAUUUAUAAUGAGAUGCUAGAGAAGAAUAAUAACCCACGAACUGGAAUUUUUUCUUAAAAAAGAAUUUAUUCUCUUGAGAGGUAGAUAUAAUACUGUACAAGGAUGCCUCCUCCAAUUUUCAAGGGAAAAAAGAAGCCCAAGAAAAAUCUUACCAAGAAAAAAGAAAUCAACAGAGAGAGGAGAAGAUUAACAGGGGAGAUAUAAGAUUAUUCACAGAGAGAGUUCAAAAUGAAGAAGAAGAAAAAAGAAAGGUGGUAUAAGAAAAGUAUAAAGAGACCUCCUUAGCCAUAUUUCCACAUACACUUGUGGGGUGUCUGAAAAUUAUUUUCUCGACUUUCUCCGUUUUCAAAAUUUAAUAAAGAAAAAAAAAAUUACCCCCGAAAAUUAUUUUUAUAAAUUAU